AGCUGGUCCAAGUGCAGUGGUGUUUACAACGAAUCGAUCACAACCAGUUACAGAUUCCUUUGUUCCUGCUCCACUCCCACUGCUUCACUUGACUAGCCUUAA
ensembl:Y_RNA Y_RNA Y RNA